GGGGUUGUAGCUCAGUGGUAGAGCGCUUGCCUCACAUGGGUAAGGUCCUGGGUUCAAUCCUCAGCACCA
rnacentral:tRNA from 1 species